GAAAAGGGAAAUAGUCCUACAGACAAUUUUCUCAAAGCUCUUGAUGUUUUAAACAGAUCCAACACAGAUGCAUUGGAGAAGGCCAUUGAUCUGGCUAGGAAGCAGCUGCAGGCUGUCGUCACUCAGAUUCAAACCUUCCUCGACAUCCACCAGGUCCUGUCCGCUGGGCCAUUCCUCUAUACAUUCAUUCAAGAGGGUACCCAAGAUGUGAAGUUUUUUUCCAAGCCCAACUGUUUGGUAAGGCUGGCUCGGUUUACACUGGAGGCUUACUGCUCAGUGACACGAAACAAGAAGGCACGCUCCCUGCCCCUGGUUCUGGGGGCUCCCCUGGAUGCUGACCAAGGGACGACUCUAGUCAUUGGUAUUCCCCCGCUACAACUGGACGAAGACAGGAAAAAUUUUUUUGGCAAAGCUUUUGAACAAGCUGCAGCCAGUACCAACUCCAGGACUCUACAUGACCAGUUUGACUCUUUCAUAAUGGAGAUGAAAGUUGAAGACAAGAGCAAGUUCUUUGAUGCUUUGAUCAGCUUGAUGCAGUGAGGAGGGGAUAUGUCAGCAUCCGGGUGGCGGAAUUACCAGUCUACUGAAUCAUCAGUCUGGUGGACGCUAGUACGGUCCUUCUAUAUUUAUAUCUUGUAUGACUUGGGAAUGUUAAACAUUCCAAAAAAUGUUGUGUUUUCAAAGUGCUGUAUAAUUUUCAAUAGAUUUUUUAAAACAAACAAUCUAUGAAUUAUAUGUAUGGUUUUUAAUUAAUUUAUCCACUCAUUUGUGAUAUCAGAUCAUCUGUAGAAAAUGAAAUAAAGACAAAAUGAAAUG
rnacentral:misc_RNA from 1 species